CCAUGCCGCGUGUGUGAAGAAGGCCUUCGGGUUGUAAAGCACUUUCAGUAGGGAGGAAGGUAGUGUAGUUAACACCUGCAUUUAUUUGACGUUACCUACAGAAGAAGCACCGGCUAACUCCGUGCCAGCAGCCGCGGUAAUACGGAGGGUGCGAGCGUUAAUCGGAAUUACUGGGCGUAAAGCGCAUGCAGGCGGCCUGUUAAGUCAGAUGUGAAAGCCCGGGGCUUAACCUCGGAAUUGCAUUUGAAACUGGCAGGCUAGAGUCUUGUAGAGGGGGUAGAAUUUCAGGUGUAGCGGUGAAAUGCGUAGAGAUCUGAAGGAAUACCAGUGGCGAAGGCGGCCCCCUGGACAAAGACUGACGCUCAGAUGCGAAAGCGUGGGGAGCAAACAGGAUUAGAUACCCUGGUAG
rnacentral:rRNA from 1 species